GUGGAUCUGGGUGUCUGUCUGCACACGUCCUGCAGUGGCCUGGACCUGCCCAUGAAGGUGGUGGACAUGUUCGGGUGCUGUUUGCCUGUGUGUGCCGUGAACUUCAAGUGUUUACAUGAGCUGGUGAAACAUGAAGAAAAUGGCCUGGUCUUUGAGGACUCAGAGGAACUGGCAGCUCAGCUGCAGGUGCUUUUCUCAAACUUUCCUGAUCCUGCGGGCAAGCUAAACCAGUUCCGGAAGAACCUGCGGGAGUCGCAGCAGCUCCGAUGGGAUUAGAGCUGGGUGCAGACUGUGCUCCCUUUGGUUAUGGACACAUAACUCCUGGGCCAGAGGCUAAAACCCCGGGACCCCUGCUGUCCUUCCCACAGCUUCUUCUCAGAGUCUCAGGGCAAAUCCUUUCGAG
rnacentral:lncRNA from 1 species